AACGAACGCUGGCGGCAUGCCUAACACAUGCAAGUCGAACGAGACCUUCGGGUCUAGUGGCGCACGGGUGCGUAACGCGUGGGAACCUGCCCUUAGGUUCGGAAUAACUCCCCGAAAGGGGUGCUAAUACCGGAUAAUGUCUUCGGACCAAAGAUUUAUCGCCUUUGGAUGGGCCCGCGUUGGAUUAGCUAGUUGGUAGGGUAAAAGCCUACCAAGGCGACGAUCCAUAGCUGGUCUGAGAGGAUGAGCAGCCACACUGGGACUGAGACACGGCCCAGAAUCCUACGGGAGGCAGCAGUGGGGAAUAUUGGACAAUGGGGGAAAGCCUGAUCCAGCAAUGCCGCGUGAGUGAUGAAGGCCUGAGGGUUGUAAAGCUCUUUUACCCGGGAUGAUAAUGACAGUACCGGGAGAAUAAGCUCCGGCUAACUCCGUG
rnacentral:rRNA from 1 species